rnacentral:lncRNA from 1 species
CGCGGCGCUCCCGUAACGCAGAGGAGCGGCUGAGCGGUGCGGCGUGCGGUUAAGGCGAGAGCGGAGUUGGCCGCGCAGCGCCCAACACGAGUAGAAAACCGAGGCCGUCGGGCUCAUGCGGAUCCAUGAGGGAGGACUUCUGUUUCACAAGGUUUCACCGCCUCUCGCAUUUUUGUGCUCAGCCAGGGCUGCAUCCAAGCAAGGGCUGCCCGGAUUUUAAACACGGGAGGCUGCAGCGUGGAUCUGGAUGUGCGGACCUCCUCACAGUGAGCGUUCCCGUUGGCGUGUGGGUGCACAAGAAAGGGGAAACCCUGCUCCUCACAGCUGGGGAGAGCACACAGCCAGCAGUGAGCGGUGCCAGCUCCUCCGCCCACCAGGGCUCCUAUGCUCUGCCAGGAGCAAGAGGUGUGUCAGCAAGAAGGCCUGCCAGCAGCCUGCCUGCUCCUCACUCCUAGCUGCGGGACCGCAGGGCACCGAGCUCAACCAGAGCAUUAUUUCCACUCGUGUGCCUGGUGCUGCACAGCUGAGCCACGCGCAGCACGGCACUGAAUGUUUUCAAGUAUUGCAGCUUGUGAUGUGCACUGCUUCACAAUGAUUCCAGUUCAAGGGCAAAUUCAGAUUGCGUCACUCACGUGCUAUAAAUGGAGAGUGCGAACAGCACAGCGUGAGCCCCUAGGAACGUGCUGUCCUAACUCGCUUUGUUCUGCAUUUAAGAUCCUUCACCGAGAGCACAAAAAGCACAGCAAAAAUCUGUUUCCAAAUAAACCUCUUGAAUAAAGCAUUUCAAAAGCCAUUUAAAGUUUCAGGAUGAGCAAAAGAUGGGGCCCUGGGCAGCCUGACCUGGCAGGGGCAAGCAGCCCACAUCGGGGCUUGGGGCUGGCUGGCUUUAAGGGCCCUUCCGCCCUUUGAUUCUAUGAUUCUAUGAAUAAAUACUAACUGAAAGAUUA